CCACUUUCUGUUGGCGGAAAAAGCCGCUCGAUGCUCCAUCCGGUGUUACACACACAUACACACACACACACACGCGCGCGCGCGCGCGUGCAAAGUGUCGUCGCGGCCUGCAGACACAUGUCCGGGAGCAGCCGGUCGUCCCGGUUGCCGGUUAUUUCGUUCAAUUACGAGCUGAGCCAGACCGCGGAGGAAAUGUCGUUCGCCGUUCACGCUCCGUACCUCGCGCUCCGCGACGAAGUCGCCGGAAUUUUUGGGAACACUCGCCACCCAGAGCUAGUUGCGACUCGCG
rnacentral:rRNA from 1 species